UCUCCGUAGGUGAACCUGCGGAGGGAUCAUUACAGAGUUCAAGUUCUACCGAGUAGAUCUCCCACCUUAUGGUAUUAUUACCUUUGUGCGUUGGCGGGUCGCUAGGACCCGGUGCGGCUACCGGCCCCUGCUGUUUAGCGACCCCCAGAUGAAGCAAUAUCCUGAAUAAUAGUGUCGACUAAGUACUAUAUAAUAGUUAAAUCUUUCAACAACGGAUCACUUGGUAAUGGCAUCGAUGAAGAACGCAGACAAAAGGAGGAGCACACGGCUCAACUCCAG
rnacentral:misc_RNA from 1 species